rnacentral:rRNA from 1 species
UACGGAGGGGGCGAGCGUUAUUCGGAAUCAUUGGGCGUAAAGGGCGCGUAGGCGGCUUUGUAAGUCUUGGGUGAAAGCCCUCGGCUCAACCGAGGAAUUGCCUUGGAUACUGCGAAGCUCGAGGCUGGAAGAGGACAGUGGAAUUCCAGGUGUAGCGGUGAAAUGCGUAGAUAUCUGGAGGAACGACCGGUGGCGAAGGGCGGCAUCUGGACCGAUAUUGACGCUGAGGAGCGAAAGCCAGGGAGCAA